rnacentral:rRNA from 1 species
GACUUUUAACAGCCGCGGUAUCCUAACCGUGCUAAGGUAGCAUAAUCACUUGCCUAUUAAUUAUAGGCUAGAAUGAACGGGAUCACUCACUUAAACUUAUUUUUAUUUAAAUUUAAAUUAAACUUUAAGUCAAAAUACUAAAUUAAAAAGAAAGACAAAAAGACCCUGAAAACUAUUAGAAAUAAUUAGUUGGGGCAACUAUAGACCACUCUAGCGUCUAUUUUUUUUUAAACUCUUAAAAUCUAAAGUAUCCAGUUACUUCAGGGAUAACAGACUAAUUUUAUUAUUUAGACCCAAUAAAUAAUAAAGAUUGGCACCUCGAUGUUGGCUUAUAUUUCCUUCAUAUAGCAACAUAUAUAGAAGGCAGCU